rnacentral:tRNA from 1 species
GGCUCCAUAGCUCAGUGAUUAGAGCACUGGUCUUGUAAACUAGGUGUUGUGAGUUUGAGCCUUGCUGGGGCCU